GUAUGAGGUGCGGUGGCGAAGUGUUAGCCUCUAUUCUUACUACCAGUUGUUGAGCUGUGUUUCUGUUAAGAUUUAGACUUGUUGGUUCAACUUUUUAUUGUAUAUUUUUCUUCCACGAUAUGAAGCCAAAUGACACUCAACGAUUCUGAAAUAGCUAGGAUAUUUUUGAAUUUUAGCUUGACACUAUUUGUGGAUAAAUUUGAUGGUUUUUCGAUUUAUGGAACAAGUGCAAGCGAAAGUAACGUUACUGGUGGGACUUGGACUUGCACGACGUUUCGUCAACGGAGUGUGACACAGUGAUUAAGACUGGGGAGAGGUCGAGAGGCAGAGUCACAUUGUUGGUGUUACACCAAUCAGAGGCAAGGCAGAGGUCAAGGGCUUGUCUGGAGGCGGGACACGCCAUAAGUGGCAGAGAUGAUGGUCUCUACCUGCUGCACCACCUGGGCCAAACUCUCUCUCUGGUCAGAUUACCAACUCACAUCUUAUGACUCGGGAGAGGCGAAGGUCAAGAGCCAUGUGUCUUCCGAAACACAACCCAACCAAGCCGCAGUGCUUCUUGACACAAUGCCCAGAAGCCAGCCACACCAAUGUGUCGGAGGAAACACUGUACACCUGGCAACUGUAUCAGCGUGUAUGUGCCCAGCCCGCCACAGGAGUUUCUAGAGAGCAAUGGGACAAAGACAUCCCUGCCGGACAAACCCUACACGUAUGUUGGGAACAUAUAUGUAAUACAUGUAUUAUAUUUUGUAUUAGCACUAUGGUGACACCACCAAUAUAAUUUAAAACGAGCAUAAAUAAGUCAGAAGUGGGUGUGGACAAGCCAGAUGCGAGACAGGAAGAUAAUAGUGGCGAAAAGCCAAGGGGUGUUAAUCAUUUACAAAAAGAGGAGUGACCAUGUAUGUUAUGUAAGGGUAAAACUGUAUAAAAGCAGAGUGCUGAGACUGGAGAGGUCAGUUGUUCCAUGGAAUUGCUCGGCUUCUGUUACUUUUGUAAUAAAGUGUAUUUGAAUUCACGA